rnacentral:rRNA from 1 species
UGGGGAAUCUUGCGCAAUGGGCGAAAGCCUGACGCAGCAACGCCGCGUGCGGGAUGAAGGCCCUCGGGUUGUAAACCGCUUUCAGUGGGGACGAAUUCAGACGGUACCCACAGAAGAAGCCCCGGCCAACUACGUGCCAGCAGCCGCGGUAACACGUAGGGGGCAAGCGUUGUCCGGAUUCAUUGGGCGUAAAGAGCUCGUAGGCGGCUCAGUAAGUCGGGUGUGAAACCUCCAGGCUCAACCUGGAGACGCCACCCGAUACUGCUGUGGCUAGAGUCCAGUAGAGGAGCGUGGAAUUCCCGGUGUAGCGGUGAAAUGCGCAGAUAUCGGGAGGAACACCAAUGGCGAAGGCAGCGCUCUGGGCUGGAACUGACGCUGAGGAGCGAAAGCGUGGGGAGCGAACAGGAUUAGAUACCCUGGUAGUCCACGCCGUAAACGUUGGGCACUAGGUGUGGGUCCUUUCCAACGGGAUCCGUGCCGUAGCUAACGCAUUAAGUGCCCCG